UUUUUCUUUGACUACUCACGGUGAGCUUGAAAAUGUCCAUACCUGAUAUGUCUGGCACAUGAAAUUUUUUAACUGAUAUUAGUAGAGGGCAGCUCCGUGAUUCAGAAUCACAUAAUAUUAAAAUCAAGUGUACGGCAAAAUUUUCAGAUAGACGAAUUUUUCUUUGUUUGGGACCUAGGUCAAUUUGUUUUCGCUCUAAAUUUGUAUUGCUGAGUUAGCCUAGAGUCUCACCUUUCCAACGAUACCAAACAUGCUGUUUUUCAACAUGGACAAAUAACUUUCAUACGGACUUAAGGGCUACCUAAAAUAUAAAAUAAGGGCUAGCUUAAGUCGGUAAUAUAGUUAUUUGUCCAUGUUAAAACACAGCUUGUGUUUGGUAUCGUUAGAAAGGUGAGACUCUAGACUAACUCAGAAAUACAAAUUUAGAGCGAAAAAAAAUUGACCUAGGUCCCAAACAAAGAAAAAUUCGUUUAUCUCAAAAUUUUGCCGUACACUUGAUUUUAAUAUUAUGUGAUUCUGAAUCACGGAGCUGCCCUCUACUAAUAUCAGUUAAAAAAUUUCAUGUGCCAGACAUAUCAGGUAUGGACAUUUUCAAGCUCACCGUG